AAAAAUUCAGCCUCGGUGGAUCUCUCAUUUGAAUCAGAUUUCUCUAACGAGCGGCAAGUCCAGGACGACGGGCGACCGUACCAAGACAUAGAGGCGGUGUACUUCUAAGAAAGUUUUCAUACAAUUUUCAUUAUAUAGGACUAUGCACUAUUUUAUAACACCGCGCCUUUUGGUACAAAUAGCUGUCUCAGUUUAGUCACCAUUAAUGGCUAAUGCCUCGACCGUCCGCUUCUGCUUAAAAGGGUAAAAUUACACUCGACAAUCAUCAGUGCUUGUAUAAUCAUGUUUAUUGUUCAUGUUCAUUAAAAUGAUUUUGUCUCGUU
rnacentral:misc_RNA from 1 species